AUACGUAGGGUGCGAGCGUUGUCCGGAAUUACUGGGCGUAAAGAGCUCGUAGGUGGUUUGUCGCGUCGUCUGUGAAAUUCCGGGACUUAACUCCGGGCGUGCAGGCGAUACGGGCAUAACUUGAGUACUGUAGGGGAGACUGGAAUUCCUGGUGUAGCGGUGAAAUGCGCAGAUAUCAGGAGGAACACCGGUGGCGAAGGCGGGUCUCUGGGCAGUAACUGACGCUGAGGAGCGAAAGCAUGGGUAGCGAACAGGAUUAGAUACCCUGGUAGUCCAUGCCGUAAACGGUGGGCGCUAGGUGUAGGGGUCUUCCACGACUUCUGUGCCGUAGCUAACGCAUUAAGCGCCCCGCCUGGGGAGUACGGCCGCAAGGCUAAAACUCAAAUGAAUUGACGGGG
rnacentral:rRNA from 1 species